UACGGGGGGGGCAAGCGUUGUUCGGAAUUACUGGGCGUAAAGGGCUCGUAGGUGGCCAACUAAGUCAGACGUGAAAUCCCUCAGCUUAACUGGGGAACUGCGUCUGAUACUGGAUGGCUUGAGUUUGGGAGAGGGAUGCGGAAUUCCAGGUGUAGCGGUGAAAUGCGUAGAUAUCUGGAGGAACACCGGUGGCGAAGGCGACAUCCUGGACCGGUAUUGACGCUGAGGCGCGAAAGCCAGGGAGCAAACGGG
rnacentral:rRNA from 1 species